UCCAGACUCCUACGGGAGGCAGCAGUGGGGGAUAUUGCACAAUGGGGGGAACCCUGAUGCAGCGACGCCGCGUGGGUGAAGGAGCGUUUCGGCGCGUAAAGCCCUAUCGGCAGGGAAGAAGGAGGACGGUACCUGACUAAGAGGCCCCGGCUAACUACGUGCCAGCAGCCGCGGUAAUACGUAGGGGGCAAGCGUUAUCCGGAUUUACUGGGUGUAAAGGGGGCGCAGACGGCAGCGCAAGCCAGGAGUGAAAGCCCGGGGCCCAACCCCGGGACUGCUCUUGGAACUGCGCGGCUGGAGUGCAGGAGGGGCAGGCGGAAUUCCUGGUGUAGCGGUGAAAUGCGUAGAUAUCAGGAGGAACACCGGUGGCGAAGGCGGCCUGCUGGACUGCGACUGACGUUGAGGCCCGAAAGCGUGGGGAGCAAACAGGAUUAGAUACCCUUGUA
rnacentral:rRNA from 1 species